AACGCACAUUGCGCCCGCCAGUAUUCUGGCGGGCAUGCCUGUUCGAGCGUCAUUUCAACCCUCAAGCACAGCUUGGUGUUGGGAUUCGUGAGUCAAAUCACGGUCCCCAAAUAGAUUGGCGGUCACGUCGAGCUUCCAUAGCGUAGUAAUUUAUUCUCGUUACUGGUAAUCGUCGCGGCCAUGCCGUUAAACCCCAACUUCUGAAUGUUGACCUCGGAUCAGGUAGGAAUACCCGCUGAACUUAA
rnacentral:misc_RNA from 1 species